AACGAACGCUGGCGGCAGGCCUAACACAUGCAAGUCGAGCGCGCCCUCCGGGGUGAGCGGCGGACGGGUGAGUAACGCGUGGGAAUCUGCCCUUCUCUACGGCAUAGCCUCUGGAAACUGAGGGUAAUAUCGUAUACGCCCUUUUGGGGAAAGUUUUAUUGGAGAAGGAUUAGGACGCGUUGGAUUAGGUAGUUGGUGGGGUAAUGGCCUACCAAGCCGACGAUCCAUAGCUGGUUUGAGAGGAUGAUCAGCCACACUGGGACUGAGACACGGCCCAGACUCCUGCGGGAGGCAGCAGUGGGGAAUCUUAGACAAUGGGGGCAACCCUGAUCUAGCCAUGCCGCGUGAGUGAUGAAGGCCUUAGGGUUGUAAAGCUCUUUCAGCUGGGAAGAUAAUGACGGUACCAGCAGAAGAAGCCCCGGCUAACUCCGUGCCAGCAGCCGCCGUAA
rnacentral:rRNA from 1 species